AACAUAAGGAUAAUAGGCCUAGCAGAUGAUUAAGUCGAAAUUAUUGAAGUGAUAAGGUUUUCAUAAGUCAAAAGGUGAAAUGAUGAGAUGAAAGGUGUCAAAUUUUGAUACAAUAAGGCUAAAUCAUUGAAAAUAAGGAAUUUUCAUCAACCUUAUCACUUUGGACGACCAUUACUCUGAAAAACAGAGAGAAAAGAAAACCAAAAAAACCAUUUCUUGGCUGGUUUGAAGAAAUUCUAAGGAGAUCCAAGUGAAAGCAAAGCCAAAGAAGUAGAUUAAGCUUAGUUCUAGCCUUUUUAUGGUAAGUUCUUGUACUUGGAAGUUAAACCAUGUUUUUGAAUUUUUCUGAAAGCUUAUAUAUGGUGUUUUAUCCUUUUUAAGAUAUUUCUUGGGGUUUCCAAGUGGUUUGAGGUUUAGAAAAGCUUGAAGAGAUUGUUUUCGCCGAAAAGUUGCUCGGUAGAGAAAGAAAUGUGUGAAUGACAUGAGGAGAACUGAAGCAUGGUCCUGACCCUGAUUUGUACAUAUGAACAUAUCGACCUUUUGUGGGUUAUUUCAGUUAUCAGUGAGAUGUUUGUAAUAAAGUGUGAAGUUAUGUUUUGAAAAUAAAUUGAGUUAUUUAAUACUUA